rnacentral:lncRNA from 1 species
UAAUUGGGCGAGGUUGGGCUAUAUGGACUUGAAGGAGACAACCGUGGACUACUGGGUAAGUACGCCUGUGAUGGGCUGUAUUUAGCUGAUUGAGGAUUAUAACUAGGUGAGGUUGGACUAUAGCUAGGAGAAGUGGGGCUAUAGCUCGGUGACGUGGGACUAUAGCCAGGGGAGGUGGGGCUAUAUGCUGGAGAGGUGGGGCUGUACGAAGGUGAUGUGGGACUGUAAGACGGUGAUGUUGGGCUGUAGGAGGGUGAUGUUGGGCUGUAGGAGGGUGAAGUUGGGCUGUAGGAGGGCGAAGUUGGGCUGUAGGAGGGUGAAGUUGGGCUGUAUGCAGGUGAAGUGGGACUGUAAGCAGGUGAAGUGGGGCUGUAAGCAGGCGAAGUGGGGCUGUAACUUGGGGAAGUGGGGCUGUAACUUGGUGAUGUGGGGCUGUAACUAGGAGAGGUGGGGCUGUAACUUGGAGAGGUUGGGCUGUAACUGGGAGAGGUGGGUGAAUAAGAUGGACUUGUAGGAGAAUAUGCAGGACUAGUUGGGCUAUAGCCCGGCGAACUAGGACUGUAAGUUGGAGAUGUAGGACUGUAGCCUGGAGAGGUAGGGCUGUACCCUGGAGAAGUAGGACUAUAACCAGGAGAUGUGGGACUAUAGCCAGGGGAUGAUGGACUGUAGCCCGGAGAUGAUGGGCUAUAGCCUGGAGAUGACGUAGGAGAGAAUGCCAUGCCUCCUACAUAGGGUGAAAAUUGAGCGUCGCUGAUAGGUG